UUGCGAAUACUCUCGCUGUUCUGAUUUUGUAGUAAUCAGGACAGGCUAAACAUUCGCUAUAGUAAGACCAUGCAUGUGUUCCCGGACUUGGUUCUUUAUCUGCCUAUGUCUGGUCUUAGAAAUGCUGGUGUUAAAU